UGCAUGUGUAAGUAUAAAUAAUUCUACUUUGAAACUGCGAAUGGCUCAUUAUAUCAGUUAUAGUUUAUUAGAAAAAAUGUACUACUUGGAUAACCGUAGUAAUUCUAGGGCUAAUACAUGAAUGAAUCCUCGACUUUGAAGAGGUGUGUUUAUUAGUAUGAAAACCAUAUGCUUCGGCAUAAUAGUGAGUAAUAAUAACCUUUCGUAUCGUAUGUUGAAAUAACGAUAGUUCUUUCAAGUUUCUGCCCUAUCAGCUUUCGAUGGUAGUGUAUUGGACUACCAUGGCAGUAACGGGUAACGAAGAAUUUGGGUUCGAUUUCGGAGAGGGAGCCUGAGAGAUGGCUACCACAUCCAAGGAAGGCAGCAGGCGCGUAAAUUACCCAAUCCUGACAGAGGGAGGUAGUGACAAUAAAUCACAAUGCGGGACUAUUUAGUUUUGCAAUUGGAUUGAGAACAAUGUACAAGAGUUAUCGAUAAACAAUUGGAGGGCAAGUCUGGUGCCAGCAGCCGCGGUAAUUCCAGCUCCAAUAGCGUAUAU
rnacentral:rRNA from 1 species